AAAAUCACAUUCAAGCUGCUCCUCUUAUAAAGGAAACAACUGCCCACCCGUCUCUCCAGCUGAAAACUGUGCCCAUCUGGCAGGGACACAGUUGAAGAAACGAGGAGUUCCCCAGAAUGUCCCUUCUCCCCCAGUGGCCUCUGGAGAAGGACUUUACCAUGCAGCCCUGGCUGGCCUGGGAUUCUGCAUGAUGGAUGAGGCCAGCUUCAGAUUGGUGGUGUCUCCCCUGCCUCCUGGCUAGCAAUAAGACUUCUUAAUAAUAUGAAAAUAGGCAUUGUGCUUUAUCUGGAACCACCCAGCUCUCUGGAAGAGAGCACUGAGCCCAGACCUUGCUCGGGUAUCCUCAGAGUCCACAGGAGGGAGCAACCAGGCUUCUCCUGGUACAGGCUACCAGGGUCUGGAUACCCCAGAGCUGAGCCCGCAGAAAUGGAUCUGAAGCCACCGGCCCUGCUGAGCUGCUCUUCCUGUGGCAUCUUUGGUCUAAUAAUAAUCCCAGGGAAACCGUAUCAGUGUUUCCUAGAAACACAUGGCAGACUGUAAUCUGUCCCACAUUGAACCACAGACAGACUUCUGCAUACUUGGGAUUACACGCAUCCUCUCAGCUGGGAUGCUAUUCUAAACCACAAGCACAGCUCGUCAUGUCUGUGGUCAGCAGGACCCCUCAAGAUAUCUGUUGAUUUCCUUUGCUCCCUCUACUGUGGUUGAAGGGGUGGGUAGGAGAGUGGGAGGCAAAGGCCUCCCAUCACAGCCUCCCCCAGCCCCCACAGGCUCAGAGUGUAGGCCAAAGAUCAGAGAGCACAGUGCAACCCGGGGGAAAAGCUGACUAAGUCACUGCAUUGCUUCAGCUGUACAGGGUGCCAGAGACAGCUCUCCGUCCUCACGCCACUCUUGGCCAGGUCUCUGCUCACCACUCUCUGCGUUGUUUCCCACUGAGUCACCGCCCACAGAGCUGGCUGGCAUGUUCCCAACUCCUGCACUCCACCCAGGGCCCCUCCCAAACACCCCUAGCAAUUCCUACUCUCUGUGAGGCCCUGAAGUGACACUGGACCCUAGUGUGUGGGAACCCUGGUUGCUUGUAUAUUCCCUGAGGCCACAGCAUAUCAUGACCAAAGCAGUGGUGGAGAGCAGAGCCCUCAGCCACCAUCCUUUCAGGCCACCUGUCUAGUUUGAAUUUUGCAUAUGGAGACAGUGACAUGAAAAUAAAGAGUGCUGUGCCCCCACCCCCAACCUGGACAGGGUGUUAGGGCUAACCCAGGCUACGAGAACACACUUUCAUGCUCUGUUCCAGCAGAAUUCAUCUUUCUUCAGAGAAGUGAAAAUUACUGGGGAUCCUAUGAGUGAAAACUGAAGAGAAAGGACCCUCUGUGAGGCAGGCAGGCUACGGGCAGCACCUGUGUUCUGGAGACAGGAGUUCUGGAUACACAUGUGACUUAACAGGCAUUAAACUUGAAAAUGUUCAUUUCCAGAGCUAAUAUAAUAUACAGCAAUGGCUUCCAAGAAGAUGUUGUCUAACUUAAUGAACUAAUGUUCUUAUCUAGUAGACACGUAUAUUCCCCAAGGGGUCACUUCCUCCUGUCCUUCCUUCCUAUGGAGUAGAGGAAUACUGGCUAAUUCAGGUAUCACAGAUAGGUGGGGAGAGGUGGUUAGCCCUCCUUUGUAAAUCUGUCCUGGGAAUUGGCUAUACUCGUUCUAAAACCCUGUGAUUUUAAGGUCACGCUGACAAAAUAUUCCUUUGUAUUCUUGCUGCUGUCUGGAACCCGCUUUCAUCUCAUGGAUUAAAGAGAGCUCAGGUUUCUGUGUUUUAAUAAAUGUGACCUAGAUAGUGAUAAACAGCCCAUGCCACAUUUGUGAUCUGUUACAGAACAUCUAAAGAUGCCUUUGAAAUUCUGAUUAGCACACGGCAGGGGCUUGAACCACUCACACUCCAGGAGUCUUGCUGUUGAAGACAAUUUUUCUUGUCCUCCAAUACCCUGUUUCCCAACACAAACUACCUGGGUCCUUCUUCCCACUCACCCCACACAGCAAACUUGAAUAAACGAAUGUCUUUCACGCAAACUCCAUUAGACGUCUUUCCAAGAUCCGUGUUCCUGUGGGAAGAUCCUCCGGCUCCCAGAGCUCCAUUUCUUAGUGCAGCUUUUCUAGGACGAGGGUGUUGUUCAGUGACGGAGUGCUUGCCCGUUGAGUAUGAUGCUCCAUUCCUGGCACAGGAAAGACAAACACCAUCCGUGUGCAGCAGCCGCACUCCCAAAAUGUCCGGAGGGAUGCGGCACACUGUGUAGCCUCUGCCUUCACUGAACUGGGCCUCAACUGUUCCUCUCUUAGGGAAGUGAAGAUCAGUGAAGAUGUGAGACCCACAAUUGUUGCACAGCUAGCUGUACCAGCAAACCAAGCUGUCUCCAAUCACUCUGUGGAGUCCUGUUUGUACCCUGCAAACAUCUUACGUCCUCCACGGGUCUUACCUCAGCAGGAACAUCCAAUUGGUCCUUUGAAGCAGCAAGAAACUGCAGUACACCAACAGAAGUUUUGGGGUGCCUUUCUCUCUAUUGAAUCCUGACAAAUGCAGCUCAACUACACAAUGUAAGAUGGACCAAUACAUGCCUGUCAUUACCAAAGAAUCCUUCAGCAUGUUUCCUUUCACAUGCUUGCUUUAGCAGAGCAUC